ACUCGUGUUUUUCUUCUUUAAUCAUUUUAAAAAAACUUUUAUCUGCAUUUUUAUAACUGUUGGAGCGCAUUUUAUAAUCUUGUUAGUCAUAAUAAUCAAGUCAUUUUAAAAGGUUUAAUCAUAUUUUAAAAAUCGCGUCCUUUUAAUCAUUUCAACCGAAAUUUCGGCAGGAAGGAUACUUUGAAGUACCUCAUGUCAGGUUUCGAAAGGACUUUUUAUUUUUUAUAUUUUAGUUUGUUUAUUAGUAUUUUUAUUUUAUUAAUUUUUUUUUUUUUUUUAAAAAAAAAAACAAAGAAAGGAAAGUCACGUGAGUGACUUUCUUUCUUCCUUCCUCUUUUCUUUUCUUUUUCUUAUUUAUUUAUUUAUUUCUUUGUUAAAGUCUUUUUCUCCAAGUCUCAGCUGCAGGGACAUUUUGGUCUUUGUUUUGUACCAGAGCCAACCCUAGUUUGUCACUAUAAAAACCCUGUCAAUCAUUGAGAAAUGGGUCAGAGAAAAAAUCACUGUAGCAGCUGCAGCAACCACCAUAAGAAACCCUAAUCUUUCAUCUCUCCCAACUUUUUCAGAUCAAAGAAAAAAUAAAAAAAUACACAACAAUCAUCAUGAAUAUUCAUAGCCAUGCAUCAUGAACAUUAUCCUCUUCCAUUCUAGGAACCAAAAUUCUUCAUAAUAAUAAACCAACAAAAACACUUUCUCACAAAAAUCAUCAAUAAACAAGUCACAUAACACCACAAUCACAAACAACAUCACACAAUCACAACAAAAAAAAAAAACUUGCGCCGGACCGGAUUCAGGGGAGGAAACCGAACCGGAAAAGGAAAGAAACGGAACGGAGGAAGCCACCAGACCAAAGGGAGAAAACCGGAUCGGAGAGAGAGAGAGGUAGUUUUUUUUUGCUCAUUUUCUUUGAAUAUUCUUUGUUAGAUCUAGGCUUGUAGAAGCUUGUUUUCAAAAAUCUAAGUUGGGAUUCAUGCAAAACAAGAAAAAGGAUUUCUAAAAACGUAAAAAAAUUUCAAAACGGAGGAGUUUUGGUUGCUCCGGCGCGGCGGCGCCGCCUGUUGGCCGGCAGCCACCACGCCGGAAAGUCAUAGCUUGGCCGGAGAAGAAGGCUGCAAUUGCAGACCUUCUCUCACUAGAAAUUUUUAGAGAGAGGGAGGAAAGGAAAAAUAGAAAAAAACGGUCCCUAUUGCCUUUUAUAAGCAUGUGUGAACCGGUCUGGUUCACUUGAACCGGACCGGUCCAUUUGAUUCCUUUCACCUUUCUUUCUAAACCUUUAGAUCCUUUUCUUUUUUUUAAUCCGACGGUCUAGAUUAGUUCCUGUUGAGUCAUUUUUUUUAUUUCCUUUUGUCUUUAUUUUUAAAUACUAUUUUUACAUUUUUUUUGACAUUUUUGUGCUUAGAAAAAAUUCCAAAAAAAAAUAUUUUUCUCCCUAUUUUAAUUUUCUCUAAUUUUAAAAAUCCAUCCUAUUUGUUUUCUUUUAAUUUUUUGUUUAUUUCUUAUAUGAUGAUAUUAAUUAUUAUUUGUCUUAAUUCUUGCUCAUUAUUUCUUAUGUCUCAUUCAUCAUAAUAUUUCUUGUGAUUACUAACCAUUUAAUUUUUGUCUUGAAUCAUAGCAUGCACAUUUAAUUUUCUCAUCAUUUUAUUUUGUCAUUGACUUAGUAUGUAUAAAUAGGGAAUUGAUGUAAUUUUAUUUCUCGCAUUUUUAUUUUGGCAUAAAGGCCUUAGGGUUGUAUUUAGGAAUUGAUGUAAUAAUGUAGGUAACACAAGCACCGACACAUGCACCGACACUACCACAUCUUAUUUACCGCUUUCCGUUAAUUUUUUACGACGUUACGUUAGUUUUCACCGUUAGUUUAGAAAAAAAUCAUUUUUUAUAAAAAAAAUCAAAUAUGUCAAAUUCAAAAAUCUUUUCUUCUUAGCAAUAUUUUCUCUUUAUUUUCUUAAUCAAAUUUUUAAUCAAUUUUAAUUCAACUUCAAUCAUUUUCAAAAUUUAAAAUCAAUCAACCUCACUCAUUUCUUUUAUCUCAUGCCUUGAGGCCUCUUUCUCUUCUUAAAACCAUUUUCAAAAAAUCUUAAAAUCAACCUAACCCACCAAAGAAAUUUUUGAGGUGAACUACAUUGGUUUUGAUCCCUUUUUCUUUAAGGGUAUGUAGGCAUAGGAUUUUUAUCCUUCCAAAUCAAAUAAAAAUAACUAAAAGCAUACUUCUUCUCCCUCCAUUCUUUCACUUAGACAUUAGGCAAUAAUUUUUCAAAUAAACAAGUAGCUUAGCACAAGAUAAUCUAGGUAAGAGGUUCCUACGGAAUACCGUAGAUGCUUAGGGUGCUAGCACCUUCCCUUCGCAUAACCAACCCUCGAAUCCAAAGUCUCGAAAAGGGUUUUUACUCAUUUUUUCCUUCCCAAGAAUAAAAAUUGAGAGUUCAAAGAUCGACGAUUCAAAUCAAUUAAUGGUUUGACAUCCGAAAAUCGCGAGCACAGAAAUGGCGACUUCACUGGGGACUUAGAUCCUACGCGGGUUAAACCCACCUUACUUUCUUUAUUUUGUGCUUUAUUAUUUGUUUAUAUCUUGUAAAUAUUUGCUUACAUGUUUACCUUAUUACGUGAGGGGUGAGAAAAUAAGCUCUACACCCGAGCUUGAGGGAAAUGUAAGAUAGGAGUGGUAGACUCAUAGUGGCAUACCGAGAGUAUACUCGUGUCUUGUCACACGUGAGAUAACCACACUUAGCAAAGGAGAUUGAAGUAAUAAAUGUCGGCGUGUGUUUUCACGUUUAGACUUUAUUACUUUUAAUCUUCCAAUGAAGCUAAGAACCUUUAGUAACCCUUAACCCAUCUUGGCCUUUUAGGACGUAGUGCGGUGGCUAACCGGGUGUUUUCUCGGAAUUAGUCGAUACGCGAUACUACACUCAAAUGAGACUUUCCUACGAACGUUGCUGGACCGGGUGUUUUCUCGGUAUCCGAUAAUAUUCGGAAGUGGUCGAGGACUUUGGGAACCUUGGUAGAACCCGUGAUACAGGUACAUUUGAAACCAUAGUCCUUACCGAAUGGCGUUGUUACCCUCGACUCCAACAUGUGGACUUAACAUCACCAUGUAUUCUAUGUACUUUAGCAUAACCAUGCAUACAUGCAUUCAUUCAUAAACAACUUUUUUCCAUCAAAAAUUGAAGGACUUAGACAAGUUUUUUGCAAACAUCAUGGGUAUGGACUUUGUAAGAAUGAACACCAAGAGAUACAACUUCAAAAAAAUCUUAACUAAACUUUAGCUUUUGUUAAGAACUUUUUCUUUGGUUUCGAUCUUACCUUUCGAAAAAGAACCUUUUGCAAUAUCUUCAUAAUUUUCAAAUGAAACCAUGUUUCUCUACCAUGUUUAAAAAUUAACUUUGAUAAGUCCUUCAAAAAAAAAAAAACAUUUUUGCAUACAUAUAUCAUGCAUCAUUUUUUUUUCAUUCAUAGUUUCUAGUUUGUGUCUCAUACUGUAUCUUCUCCAUAAAAGGUCUAUCCGUCGGUCUAAUCGCAUCUACAACACUCGAGCAAAUCAGAAUGGAUCAUCUUGAAGAAGAGAACCACAAGCUUCGUGAAGAGGUGACAACCCUCCGGGCCGAGAAUGAGAUUUUAAGGAACUUAGUAUCUUUGAUGACGAUGGCACAGAGACAACCAUUAUCUCAUCCUGUUGUCAGCACUCAGGCUCAGACGGUUGCUUCCACUACCCCGAUUUCAACAGUGUUUGCUAGUAGUCCUCAACAUGCUAUGCUUGAAGGUUAUCUAUGGGGCACACCCUUUGGUUCUAGUGAAGUAUUUCGUCCUGAUGACUCUAAGGUUCAAGCUCCUUUUGUGCAACUGACAACGCCUAUCCCUCAACCGGGUCCUUUGUUCCCUCAAGCUGCUAUGAUUCAUACUACUCAACAAGGCCAUAAACCAAUCUAUCAUUCAGGAAAGGUGGUUGCAUACGACCGGACAGCUGAGCUGGAAGAAAGGUUUGACAGAAUACAAUUGGAAUUGAAAACUCUUCGUGGGAAAGAACUGUUUGGGAAAAAUGCUUAUGAUCUUUGCUUGGUUCCCAAUGUCGUGAUACCACCCAAGUUCAAAGUCCCUAAUUUUGAGAAAUACCAAGGAAACACUUGUCCUGAGCUUCAUUUGGUAAUGUACGUGAGAAAGAUGUCUGCUCAAGUAGGUAAUGAUGAGCUCCUUAUCCACUGUUUCCAAGACAGUUUGACUGGUGCCGCACUGAUAUGGUAUAUGGGCCUACACAAGGUUGAUAUCAAAACGUUCAAUGAUUUGUGUGAGGCUUUCGUCCAGCGAUAUAACUACAACUUGCAUUUAGCCCCAAACAGAAAGGAACUGCAAGCCAUGACCAUGAGUGAUAAUGAAUCUUUCAAAGCUUAUGCCCAACGGUGGAGAGACGUCGCUGCACAGGUUCGUCCACCUCUAGAAGAGAAAGAAUUUACCGAGAUUUUCCUGGAGACUCUGGAUCAGUUCUAUUAUGAGCAUAUGCUUACAAGUGCAUCCGGCAGCUUCGUAAACAUGAUGACUGUGGGCAUGCGUAUUGAAGAAUGGGUCCGAAAAGGACAAUUGGUCAAAGAAAGUGCUCCCACAGAUGAUUUUGAGUACGAAGAUCAGGAAAUGAGUGUGGUAGAAAGUCAGCCUCAACAACAGUAUCUGGCUUUUCACCCUGCUGCCGCUGUUAUGCCUAUCAUAGAUGUUGUUCAAAGUUCGGGUUAUCAACCCCAGUUUCAACAAUAUCAACAACAGCCUCGACAACAGGCCCCAAGGACACAGAUUGAUCCUAUUCCCAUGAAGUAUGCAGAUUUGUUUCCAAAGUUGCUCGAAAGGAAUUUGGUUUACACCAAGGCACCUCCUCCAAUGCCAGCAAAGUUGACAUCCCGGUACAGGCCCGACCUCUUUUGUGCUUUCCAUCAAGGGGCACCAGGUCAUGAUAUUGAGCACUGCUUUGCAUUGCAGAAGGUAGUUCAGAAGUUGAUCCAAAAAAACCUCAUACCUUUCGAAGAGUUUGAAUUUGAAUAUGCAAGUUAAUCCGCUAUCGGAUUUUUACACCUUGUGUUGACUUGUGGAAUGUUUAGCUGCAAUUGGUUCUUUACUGAUGUUUAUUUCUAAUACUCUUUUGUUCAAUUAAUAUGUUUGUUUGUUGCUUUAUGUUUUUUCAAAAAAAAUCCUUUUGUCCCACCCGAGAUGAAAGUGAAUUCAUCUAGGGCUUUUUGCUUUAUGUAUUUUCAUCAUUAGUGAAAGGUCGCUUGAUCCCGACUUUGUUUUAUUUUGUGCUUUUUCUGGAAAAAUGGUAAUACAAAAAACCAAAAAAAAAAAAAAGAAUCCUUUUCUUUAAUCAUUUCCACAUAUCUGCAUAAUCAUAAUGUUUAUAUCAAUAAUCAAAUCAUGCAUUAAUAAACCCGUUGAACACUUUAAUCAUAUGCUCCCUCUCGACCUUGAGUUCCUUGUAUCCGAGGCUGAAUAAGAGGAUGAUGAAGAAGCUUCCACUGAGAUUUCUCGCCUACUGGGGCAUCUUGGCCGUCGAAGCUGCAAAUAUCAAAAGAGAUUGUCUAGAAGAGGACUUUCAUGUACAAAGACUGGCACGAGAUGCCACCAUUUUCCUUGCAAGGAUAUUGUACUUCAAGUGAACACUUCAGCAGGGGCAACCCCCCCUCCAUCCCUCAGUAUACAACAUAAAGGCAAUGCCUCACAUGAAGGUCAAAGUCCCAUCAACGGGAGUUCCAAUGAAAGCUAAGCUUGAUUGAAGUUAAAAGUGUUAUUGUUGUAUGGCGUGAACAAUUGUAUCAAAAGCAUGUUUUCAAUAAGAGAAGGCUCGUCCCCAUGAAUGUCAAGAGAGUGGCCUUGUGCUCAAAAGUUAUGCUAUCUGAUUUAAACAAGCUCCAGGAGCAAUGAAUGCCUAAUACAAAGCAUGAGGUUAAACUUGUAUGUCCUGUGAAUACCGAUGCAGUCAAGAAAUACUUUGUUAAAAUGAAAAAGCUCGAUAAGUCGCAAACCUGAAAAGGCGGCUUAGGCAAAAAAAAAAGAGCGUCUCGAUGGACUGAAAACCCAAAAGGGCGGCCCAUGCAAAAGUUAGAGACAUAUAUAAAAAAAAAUGUGUUUAUCCUGAUAGGUUGAAACCCGCAAGGGCGAUCUAUGCAAAAGUUAAGCAUCAUGACAAAGUAACUGCAUCUGGUCGGACAUGAUUCAUAUGGGGCAUUUCAGCCGUCAAAAGACUUCCGACUCAUGGCAAGGUAAUUGCAUCAAAUCAGAUAUGAUUCAUCUGGGGCAUCUUAGCUGUUAAAGGGCUUCCGAUCUGAAAUGUCUGCAAAUCAAAGACUCAAAAUAGUGGAAUUCAAAGUUGGUAGAGGAAACAGUGAUUAUUGUGUUCAACGUACCUUUUCCAUAUAAUUACCAUUUUUCCAAACUUUUAAAAUCUGUGGAACCACGCCUUUGGCAGGCCACCAUUCCAUUUACAUUAACUUGAGCUUAUGCCCAUUUAUUUGAAAUUCUCAUUUAUUCUAUUUUGCAAAUUUUCUUCUAUUUUUGAUGUUAAUAUGUAAAGCAAAAAAAAAAAUCUUUUAAAACUUUUUCAUGUCUUUUGAAAAGCAUAAACAACCAGUACAUGUUCUUUGAACUUAUGAGUAGGUGAAACAUACAUCAACAUCCGUCUCAAGGACAGUUAAACUCUGCAAGGUUGGCAUGACCAAAAGCUGAGAGAUGACCUCUGUAAAAAAAAAAAAAAAAAAAAAAAAAAAAAAAAAAAAACUCAUUAAGUCGAAAACCCGAAAGGGCGGCUUAAGCCAAAAACGAGCGUCCCGGUGGAUUGAAAACCCGAAAAGGCAGUCCAGGCAAAAAUUAGGGGCAUACAAAAAAAAAAAAAAAAAAAAAGACAAUAUUCCCGGUGGAUCGAAAACCCAAAAGGGCGGUCCAGGCAAAAGUUAGGGAUUUUCAAAAAACAAUAUAUACAAAAAAAAAUGAAAUAAAAAAAAUGGAAAAGACAGAGGCAUCACAGUUCCAAUGAGUCAAACAGAAGAAUACACCUUGAGUUUGGUUUACAAAUGGCGACUUCGGCCAGUGGUUUGAUUAAUGGCGACUUCUGCCAAAACAGGGGUUGAUAUCAUUCUAGUAGUUUGAUGAAUGGCAACCUCUACCUGCGGUCUGAUAAUUGGGUUUUACCCUUUCCUCUCAUCAGUGAUUGGAUAUCGAGCUUUACCCCGUCAGUGGUUUGAUUCAUCUCCAGUAAUACUAUCCCCAAUGAAGAUUGUCGAGUGUUUGUACUGCGAUGUCAGUCCGCCUUCCAUCUUACUUGUCUAGUCUUGACAGCUUCACUUGUUGUAUAGAGUCGUCUAAAUCAUGCAUUCAUACAGUCAUAUAUUCAUGUACUCAUACAUUCAUUCAUUUCAUAUAUACAUAUUCAUGCAUAUAAACAUUCUUGCACGCAUUGCAUGCAUAACAAAUACCAUUUAUACAUGAUUGCAUUGACUACCUUGUGUCUUACUUCAUUUGUAUCUCACAAAAACAUCGUCUCCAAUGUGUUUGACCCAGAAAUUUCACCCAGGGUCCUGUUUUGUCGUAUCCCUUCAAUUCAGUCUUCACUCAUUAUUGUGUCAAGCGAAUAGCUUGCAAACCUUUUUUGUUACCUGUGUGUCAAGCGAAUAGCUUGCAAACAUCUUUUGUUACAUGUGGGUCAAGUGAGUAGCUUGCAAUUAUCUGCUAUUACCUACGGGUCAAGCGAGUAGCUUGCAAAUAUCUUUUGUUACCUAUGCGUCAAGCGAGUAGCUUGCAAAUAUUUUUGUUUCAUGUGUGUCAAGUGAGUAGCUUGCAAACCUCUUUUGCUACCUAAGUGUCAAGCGAAUAGCUUGCAAACAACUUUUGCUUCAUUGUGUCAAGUGAAUAGCUUGCAAAAUACCUUCAGAGUCGGGUUGACACCCUGUCAAUUGCUUUUGAAUCAGGUUGAUACCUUGCAAUUGUUUUUGAAUCAGGUUAAUAGCCCGCAAAUACUUUUGUGUCAAACAACUACUUUACCAAUGUCUUUAUUUUUACCGUGUGUUUGCUAUCCCACAAUGUUAGUAAACCCUGUCGGUCCAUCAUGUCUUUACUUUCGCCACUCGUCGGCCAAUCAUGUCUUUACUUUCGCCACUGGUCGGCCAAUCAUGUCUUUACUUUCGCCACUCGUCGGCCAAUCAUGUCUUUACUUUCGCCACUCGUCGGCCAAUCAUGUCUUUACUUUCGCCACUCGUCGGCAAAUCAUGUCUUUACUUUCGCCACUCGUCGGCAAAUCAAUCAUGUCUUUACUUUCGCCACUCGUCGGCAAAUCAAUCAUGUCUUUACUUUCGCCACUCGUCGGCAAAUCAAUCAUGUCUUUACUUUCACCACUCGUCGGCAAUCAAUCAUGUCUUUACUUUCGUCUUGAAACAAUGUUAACAAACAUUAUCAUUCAUAGUUCAGUUGUUCCAAGUUAUCUCACAGCAAUCUUAAGCAUUACCUAUCAUUUCUUUCCCCAGUGAUAUUUAUCCAAUUGUCCCCCAAUCAGUCUUUUAUGCAUCAUCUUUACAUUCAUGCUUGUAUCAUGUGCAGUCAUAUCAUCACAUUCAUCAGCAUCGCAUAUCUGGCAUUUCAAACGGUCCAAAUUGGCGUCUUUUUAUAUUUAAGUCUCUUCGACCCUUUGGUUUAAAAGUUUUCCCUUUUAAAACCUUCGUGACGAAGAAACUUAAAUAGGGGCAUCUGUCAUACCCCAAAUUUGGACCAUUUAAAAUCUUUUUGUCCAUAUUUAAAAAUAGUCCACAUUCUCUUCUAUUUGUUUUUUUUACCAUUUAAAACUCGUGUUUUUCUUCUUUAAUCAUUUUAAAAAAACUUUUAUCUGCAUUUUUAUAACUGUUGGAGCGCAUUUUAUAAUCUUGUUAGUCAUAAUAAUCAAGUCAUUUUAAAAGGUUUAAUCAUAUUUUAAAAAUCGCGUCCUUUUAAUCAUUUCAACCGAAAUUUCGGCAGGAAGGAUACUUUGAAGUACCUCAUGUCAGGUUUCGAAAGGACUUUUUAUUUUUUAUAUUUUAGUUUGUUUAUUAGUAUUUUUAUUUUAUUAAUUUUUUUUUUUUUUUAAAAAAAAAAACAAAGAAAGGAAAGUCACGUGAGUGACUUUCUUUCUUCCUUCCUCUUUUCUUUUCUUUUUCUUAUUUAUUUAUUUAUUUCUUUGUUAAAGUCUUUUUCUCCAAGUCUCAGCUGCAGGGACAUUUUGGUCUUUGUUUUGUACCAGAGCCAACCCUAGUUUGUCACUAUAAAAACCCUGUCAAUCAUUGAGAAAUGGGUCAGAGAAAAAAUCACUGUAGCAGCUGCAGCAACCACCAUAAGAAACCCUAAUCUUUCAUCUCUCCCAACUUUUUCAGAUCAAAGAAAAAAUAAAAAAAUACACAACAAUCAUCAUGAAUAUUCAUAGCCAUGCAUCAUGAACAUUAUCCUCUUCCAUUCCAGGAACCAAAAUUCUUCAUAAUAAUAAACCAACAAAAACACUUUCUCACAAAAAUCAUCAAUAAACAAGUCACAUAACACCACAAUCACAAACAACAUCACACAAUCACAACAAAAAAAAAAACUUGCGCCGGACCGGAUUCAGGGGAGGAAACCGAACCGGAAAAGGAAAGAAACGGAACGGAGGAAGCCACCAGACCAAAGGGAGAAAACUGGAUCGGAGAGAGAGAGAGGUAGUUUUUUUUUGCUCAUUUUCUUUGAAUAUUCUUUGUUAGAUCUAGGCUUGUAGAAGCUUGUUUUCAAAAAUCUAAGUUGGGAUUCAUGCAAAACAAGAAAAAGGAUUUCUAAAAACGUAAAAAAAUUUCAAAACGGAGGAGUUUUGGUUGCUCCGGCGCGGCGGCGCCGCCUGUUGGCCGGCAGCCACCACGCCGGAAAGUCAUAGCUUGGCCGGAGAAGAAGGCUGCAAUUGCAGACCUUCUCUCACUAGAAAUUUUUAGAGAGAGGGAGGAAAGGAAAAAUAGAAAAAAACGGUCCCUAUUGCCUUUUAUAAGCAUGUGUGAACCGGUCUGGUUCACUUGAACCGGACCGGUCCAUUUGAUUCCUU
rnacentral:lncRNA from 1 species